GAUGAACGCUGGCGGCGUGCCUAAUACAUGCAAGUCGAGCGAACAGACGAGGAGCUUGCUCCUCUGACGUUAGCGGCGGACGGGUGAGUAACACGUGGAUAACCUACCUAUAAGACUGGGAUAACUUCGGGAAACCGGAGCUAAUACCGGAUAAUAUAUUGAACCGCAUGGUUCAAUAGUGAAAGACGGUUUUGCUGUCACUUAUAGAUGGAUCCGCGCCGCAUUAGCUAGUUGGUAAGGUAACGGCUUACCAAGGCAACGAUGCGUAGCCGACCUGAAAGGGUGAUCGGCCACACUGGAACUGAGACACGGUCCAGACUCCUACGGGAGGCAGCAGUAGGGAAUCUUCCGCAAUGGGCGAAAGCUUGACGGAGCAACGCCGCGUGAGUGAUGAAGGUCUUCGGAUCGUAAAACUCUGUUAUUAGGGAAGAACAAAUGUGUAAGUAACUAUGCACGUCUUGACGGUACCUAAUCAGAAGGCCACGGCUAACUACGUG
rnacentral:rRNA from 1 species